rnacentral:rRNA from 1 species
AUCGAACGCUGGCGGCAUGCCUAACACAUGCAAGUCGAGCGGAUGAAGGGAGCUUGCUCCUGGAUUCAGCGGCGGACGGGUGAGUAAUGCCUAGGAAUCUGCCUGGUAGUGGGGGCUAACGUCCGUAAACGGGCGCUAAUACCGCAUACGUCCUGAGGGAGAAAGUGGGGGAUCUUCGGACCUCACGCUAUCAGAUGAGCCUAGGUCGGAUUAGCUAGUUGGUGGGGUAAAGGCCUACCAAGGCGACGAUCCGUAACUGGUCUGCGAGGAUGAUCAGUCACACUGGAACUGAGACACGGUCCAGACUCCUACGGGAGGCAGCAGUAGGGAAUAUUGGACAAUGGGCGAAAGCCUGAUGCAGCAAUGCCGCGUGUGUGAAGAAGGUCUUCGGAUUGUAAAGCUCUUUAAGUUGGGAGGAAGGGAAGUAUGUUUAUACAUUGCUGUUUUGACGUUACCAACAGAAUAAGCAACGGCUAACUUCGUG